rnacentral:rRNA from 1 species
AGAGUUUUGAAUCCUGGCUCAGAUUGAACGCUGGCGGAAUGCUUUACACAUGCAAGUCGAACGGCAGCACGGGGCAACCUGGUGGCGAGUGGCGAACGGGUGAGUAAUACAUCGGAACGUGCCCAAUCGUGGGGGAUAACGUAGCGAAAGUUACCGCUAAUACCGCAUACGAUCUACGGAUGAAAGCGGGGAUCGCAAGACCUCGCGCGAAUGGAGCGGCCGAUGUCAGAUUAGGUAGUUGGUGGGGUAAAGGCUCACCAAGCCAACGAUCUGUAGCUGGUCUGAGAGGACGACCAGCCACACUGGAACUGAGACACGGUCCAGACUCCUACGGGAGGCAACAGUGGGGAAUUUUGGACAAUGGGCGCAAGCCUGAUCCAGCCAUUCCGCGUGCAGGAUGAAGGCCUUCGGGUUGUAAACUGCUUUUGUACGGAACGAAAAGGUCCUGGUUUAAUACCUGGGGCUCAUGACGGUACCGUAAGAAUAAGCACCGGCUAACUACGUG